UGAAGCAGAGAAGUUCCCCAGGCUGUGGCUUUUCUUUUUCUUGGAUCUUUUAAAACCUGCUCUGGACUGAAAACCCAGGCAAACACUGGGAGCUCACCCCUGAGGCCCGCCAGGACCAGGAUGUGGCAUUUUCUGGUGCAGGAGGGACUGGUAAGAGACUGAGAGAGCUGAGCUAUACCCCACAAAAAGGACUUUCUGAAUUUGCCAUCUCUUCAGAACAGCAAGAGGAGGAAAUUUGAUCCAAAUAAUGCAAUGUCCUGAGCUGAGGCUUGAGUCAAGUAUUCUGCCUUACACAUUAAGUCCAAGACCCACAGAAGUUAAGAAGACUUGAGAGUAAUUUCCCAGAAAAGGUAAAAAACCAAAAUACAAAUUUGGAGUUUAUUGUGAAGCAUGCAUGAAUUGCUUAACUGGAUUAGUAAUUAAUAUAAUUUUUAAAUGAGCUUCAAGCUUGCAGCUUUUUCUUUGAGCAGCAGUACUGACACGGGAUUAGGACAUACUUGCUUUAACUAAAUGCACUGUUUGCUCUGCCCUUACUAUGACCCUGAAAACAAAAAGCUGGUCUCUACUGAUUCUUGUGAGUACAAACAUGAGCUUUCCAGGUAUACUUUUUGGGAAAAUGGUUGGAUUGAUGUUUACAAAAGAUGAGGUCCAAGAGAUACACACAUAAUUUCUCUUAGAGCAUGUGCUGCUAAUGGACCAUUAAUGAUACAUUAUUAUAGGUUAUUGAAAUAUGCUUUUAAAAGAUAUAGCAACCCAAAUCUAGCCAAAGUAAUUUCUGUAAACACCCAUAAUGCAUUAAGAGAGAAUUUGUAUGUUUUUAAAUAAUAAAGCAGGUACUUAAGACAUGAUUUUGGACUGAAUACAGUGUUGAUUCAUGUUUUGUUUUCUUGUUGUUUUUUCCAACCUAUGGCUAAUAUUAUGAUGU